rnacentral:rRNA from 1 species
AUUGAACGCUGGCGGCAGGCCUAACACAUGCAAGUCGAGCGGAUGAAGGGAGCUUGCUCCUGGAUUCAGCGGCGGACGGGUGAGUAAUGCCUAGGAAUCUGCCUGGUAGUGGGGGAUAACGUCCGGAAACGGGCGCUAAUACCGCAUACGUCCUGAGGGAGAAAGUGGGGGAUCUUCGGACCUCACGCUAUCAGAUGAGCCUAGGUCGGAUUAGCUAGUUGGAGGGGUAAAGGCCUACCAAGGCGACGAUCCGUAACUGGUCUGAGAGGAGGAUCAGUCACACUGGAACUGAGACACGGUCCAGACUCCUACGGGAGGCAGCAGUGGGGAAUAUUGGACAAUGGGCGAAAGCCUGAUCCAGCCAUGCCGCGUGUGUGAAGAAGGUCUUCGGAUUGUAAAGCACUUUAAGUUGGGAGGAAGGGCAGUAAGUUAAUACCUUGCUGUUUUGACGUUACCAACAGAAUAAGCACCGGCUAACUUCGUG